CAGCAGCCGCGGGAAUACGUAGGGUGCAAGCGUUAAUCGGAAUUACUGGGCGUAAAGCGUGCGCAGGCGGUUCGUUAAGACAGAUGUGAAAUCCCCGGGCUUAACCUGGGAACUGCAUUUGUGACUGGCGGGCUAGAGUAUGGCAGAGGGGGGUAGAAUUCCACGUGUAGCAGUGAAAUGCGUAGAGAUGUGGAGGAACACCGAUGGCGAAGGCAGCCCCCUGGGCCAAUACUGACGCUCAUGCACGAAAGCGUGGGGAGCAAACAGGAUUAGAUACCCCUGUAGUCCCUGUCUCUUAUAC
rnacentral:rRNA from 1 species